rnacentral:lncRNA from 1 species
CAAGCACCAGCUUUUCACCUGGAGUAAAUCAAUAGCUCUCCACUAUAACACAGCUGAGCUGUCCCAGCUGAACUAUUUAUGGAGCUAAUUGGGCUCACUUAUAAAAGAGAGGAAGUUGCUGUGAGUUUUGUGGUAGAGGGGUGAAAUUGAGUGACUUAAGUGGUGAUUGAAAGUGCCUUGGUGGUAAUCCCUGCUUUUCUGUUGAAGCACCUUUUCCUCAGUCUCCGGCAUGUCACCCUAUGAGAAAAAGGACUGACCAAAGAAAUAUUUUGCUGCUUUCAUAAACAUAAAUCUGCAUCAAAAUGAAAAGAAUGUGGGCCAGAUUCCUCUCCUGGAAACCAACACAGAGCUCUAUGCCCAAAGCCUGGCUAUUCUGCGUUACUUUCUAUCAUCUGAAGACUCAAAUGGCUUUAUCAUACUACUUCAUGCUCUGCAGAAAGUAGCAUGCACUGCACUGGAAUGGCCGUUCUUCCCUGAAGGUGUUUAAAGGAGCAAAUAAUCAUUGAUGCUAUUGCUCAUGUAAUUUGUGUUGUAAAGUAAAAGGAGCAGUUUACACUCCUUCAAAGCAUAUUUGUUCAUAGACAGAAGGCAGAAAAAAGAUGCUGUGUUCAACAGGUCAGCCACAGAUUGCUUUAGUCCUACAAUACAUCUGGCGUUAGUGAGCAGUGAAGGAGAUCUGUAAUUACAUGUCCUGGAGAUGUCUUUCUCUGGCUCGCUGGUCACCCAGUUGACCCCCACCCAAUCAAGAUGGUGGGAGGGAGCUUGGUGUGAGGAAAUCAGCAACACUGGUUCAUGCAGAACAAGCAGUGGGAAAUUUUCUCAGAAUAUAUGAAGAUCCUAACACUGGCUGAUGUCUACUUAAUGUGAUCUGCAUGACAUUUUUGUGCCUCUUUUGCACAGCCAAGAGUUU